rnacentral:rRNA from 1 species
AUUAGUUUUUUAAUUGAAGGCUAGAAUGAAUGGUUGGACAAGAAAUAAUCUGUCUUAAUUAAAUAAAUUGAAUUUAACUUUUAAGUGAAAAGGCUUAAAUAAUCUAAAGGGACGAUAAGACCCUAUAAAACUUUAUAUUUAAUAAUAGUAAUUAAUUUUAUUUUAAGAUUAUUAUUUGAAAGUAUUUGGUUGGGGUGACAAGGAUAAAAUAUAAAAUAACUGUCUUUUUUUAUUACAAUAAUAUUUGGUUUAAUGAUCCUAAAAUGGAUUAAAGAUUAAGUUACUUUAGGGAUAACAGCGUAAUUUUCUUUAAGAGUUCUUAUCGACAAGAAAGUUUGCGACCUCGAUGUUGAAUUAAAA